UUGAUCCUGGCUCAGAUUGAACGCUGGCGGCAGGCCUAACACAUGCAAGUCGAACGGUAACAGGAAACAGCUUGCUGUUUCGCUGACGAGUGGCGGACGGGUGAGUAAUGUCUGGGAAACUGCCUGAUGGAGGGGGAUAACUACUGGAAACGGUAGCUAAUACCGCAUAACGUCGCAAGACCAAAGAGGGGGACCUUCGGGCCUCUUGCCAUCAGAUGUGCCCAGAUGGGAUUAGCUAGUAGGUGGGGUAACGGCUCACCUAGGCGACGAUCCCUAGCUGGUCUGAGAGGAUGACCAGCCACACUGGAACUGAGACACGGUCCAGACUCCUACGGGAGGCAGCAGAAGGG
rnacentral:rRNA from 1 species